rnacentral:rRNA from 1 species
GAUGAACGCUGACAGAAUGCUUAACACAUGCAAGUCGACUUGAAGCAACUUCGGUUGUGGAAAGUGGCGGACGGGUGAGUAACGCGUAAAGAACUUGCCCUUCAGUCUGGGACAACCAUUGGAAACGAUGGCUAAUACCGGAUAUUAUGGAACUCUCGCAUGGGAGGAUCAUGAAAGCUAUAUGCGCUGAAGGAGAGCUUUGCGUUCCAUUAGCUAGUUGGUGAGGUAACGGCUCACCAAGGCGACGAUGGAUAGCCGGCCUGAGAGGGUGAUCGGCCACAAGGGGACUGAGACGCGGCCCUUACUCCUACGGGAGGCAGCAGUGGGGAAUAUUGGACAAUGGACCAAAAGUCUGAUCCAGCAAUUCUGUGUGCACGAUGAAGGUUUUCGGAUCGUAAAGUGCUUUCAGUUGGGAAGAAGAAAGUGACGGUACCAACAGAAGAAGCGACGGCUAAAUACGUGCCAGCAGCCGCGGUAAUACGUAUGUCGCAAGCGUUAUCCGGAUUUAUUGGGCGUAAAGCGCGUCUAGGCGGGUUCAUAAGUCUGAUGUUAAAAUGCGGGGCUCAACUCCGUAUUGCGUUGGAAACUGUGAACCUAGAGUAUCAGAGAGGUGGGCGGAACUACAAGUGUAGAGGUGAAAUUCGUAGAUAUUUGUAGGAAUGCCGAUGGAGAAGUCAGCUCACUGGAUGAAUACUGACGCUAAAGCGCGAAAGCGUGGGUAGCAAACAGG